CCGGCGACCGGCGCACGGGUGAGUAACGCGUAUGCGACCUGCCCGUUGCAGGGGGAGUAAUCGGGAGAAAUCCCGUCUAAUACCGCGUAACGCCGCGGGGCUGCAUGGCCCUGCGGCCAAAGGGGGCGACUCCGGUCACGGAUGGGCAUGCGGCGCAUUAGGUAGUUGGUGGGGCAACGGCCCACCAAGCCGACGAUGCGUAGGGGUUCUGAGAGGAAGGUCCCCCACAUUGGAACUGAGACACGGUCCAAACUCCUACGGGAGGCAGCAG
rnacentral:rRNA from 1 species